GUUCUCUGCCUCCUUUUCACUACCUUCAGCCAACUGUUUCCCUUAUAUCAGAUCUCCUUCAACACGCUUCCCUUCUCUUUCUUAGACAAGUAAGCUUGAUGGCUUAUAUUAGAGUGAGAGUCUGAGAGACUGUGGGGAGGCCGAUUGAGAGACGGAGAACGAGAGAGAGAGUGAGAGAAAGAGAGCUGACACUGGGAGGGAGAUCCAAGCAGGGAAGCUUUCGGGGAGGAGAUAGAUUACGUGCAAGUCGGCUUUCGAACCAAGGAUUUAAUUGGUGUCCUAGCUCACCAAGAAGAAACCAAGAGCAAGGUACCCGCACAGGAGAGCAGGCGGAAGGGCCCAGUUCAUCCAAAGGAAAAGAGAAGCUGGUGGAAGCUUAGCUAAGGUGGAAGGAAGAAGAGCUUAGUGUUUAGUUAGUUAAUUAAUCUGGAAUAUUUUUGUGUUUGUUUCCCCCUUCCUUUUGUGAUGCUCAUAUUUCAUUUUGUGAGGUUAUGUAAUUUUCACUUAUUGGAUGUAUGUACCUCCAUAACGAGUAGUGUUUUUGGGGUAACUUAGCAUAACUGGGUACUUAGCAUACAUAUAUGCAUAUAUUAAUGACCUAUCUAUAGUAUGAAUGGUUUAGGAUUUACCAAGUAUGAUUUAUUAGAGCUGAAACAGAAAAGUAGAGUUUUCUGUAGAAACAUCUGUAUAGCUCUGAUAAAUUGUUGUUGCUAUUAGAUCACGGUAGUACGAUUUCAGGUCUUAUUAUAUCA